UGCGGGGUGGAGCAGCCUGGUAGCUCGUUGGGCUCAUAACCCAAAGGUCGUCCGUUCGAAUCGGACCCCCGCUACCA
rnacentral:tRNA from 1 species